rnacentral:rRNA from 1 species
UACGGGGGGGGGCAAGCGUUGUUCGGAAUUACUGGGCGUAAAGGGUCUGUAGGUGGCUUGUUAAGUCAGACGUGAAAUCCCUCAGCUUAACUGGGGAACUGCGUCUGAUACUGGCGAGCUUGAGUGCAGGAGAGGAACGCGGAAUUCCAGGUGUAGCGGUGAAAUGCGUAGAUAUCUGGAGGAAUACCGGUGGCGAAGGCGCAUCCUGGACCGGCAUUGACGCUGAGUGAGCGAAAGCCAGGGGAGCAAAGCGGG